rnacentral:rRNA from 1 species
UACGUAGGGGGCUAGCGUUAUCCGGAAUUACUGGGCGUAAAGGGUGCGUAGGUGGUUUCUUAAGUCAGAGGUGAAAGGCUACGGCUCAACCGUAGUAAGCCUUUGAAACUGGGAAACUUGAGUGCAGGAGAGGAGAGUGGAAUUCCUAGUGUAGCGGUGAAAUGCGUAGAUAUUAGGAGGAACACCAGUUGCGAAGGCGGCUCUCUGGACUGUAACUGACACUGAGGCACGAAAGCGUGGGGAGCAAACAGGAUUAGAUACCCCGGUAGUCCCUGAGCGGG